GCUGCCGGCACUUCCGGCGGUGGCCAUGGUGACGGCAGUAGGCAGGAAGACCGUUCAGAAAGGAAGACUUAUGGAUUUCACAAGCACGGUCAUCAUCCCGCUGCUUUUUGGCAGCUUGGGGAUCUUUGCCGUCUUUCGGCUGCUGCAGUGGAUGCGGAUGCGAGCUUACCUCCAGGAAGCUGUGGUCGUGGUCACAGGGGCUACCUCUGGCCUGGGAAAAGCUUCUUGAGGAGAAGACAAGGUGCUCUCUGCUAUCAAGGCCUUUCAUUAGGAUGAGUACACUCAUAGAACAAAUAGCUUAAACUGAUGCUGGUUUUGCAUGUGCGUUUGUCGUUGAAGGCAGUGCUGUUCAGUAACUGAAUGUCCAAAGGAGAUAGAAUCAUAGAAUUAGGUUGGAAGGGACCUUUAAGAUUAUCUAGUCCAACCAUCCACCUAACUCUGAUAAAAAACCGUCACUAAACCACGUCACUAAGCCCUAUGUCAGCCUGUCUUUUAAAUACCUCCAGGGAUGGUGCCUCAACCACUUCCCUGGGCAGCCCUUCCAAGGCUUAAUAACCCGUUCGGUGUAAAACCUUUUCCUAAUCUCCAAUCUGAACCUCCCCUGGUGCAACUUGAGGCCAUUUCCUCUUGUCCUGUUGCCUGUGUCUUGGGAGAAGAGACCAACCCCUGCCUCUCUACACCCUCCUUUCAGGUAGUUCUAGAAAGUGAAAUGGUCCUCUCUGCCUGUCACAACAAAAGAGCUGGGAGUGGUAAAAGAAUUUGUAUUUCACAUUAAGAAGAGAUAGAACUGGUAUCUCGGGAGGGACUUUCCAGCUGUGAUAGGCUGGGCAGAUGAAGCACUGUGUGGUGUUGGGUAUAGAUUUCCACCAUUGUACAGUGAAGUUUCCUCCCUUACUGACUCAUUGGC